rnacentral:rRNA from 1 species
AUUGAACGCUGGCGGCAGGCCUAACACAUGCAAGUCGAGCGAGCGGCGGACGGGUGAGUAAUGUAUGGGGAUCUGCCUGAUGGAGGGGGAUAACUACUGGAAACGGUGGCUAAUACCGCAUACCAUCAGAUGGACCCAUAUGGGAUUAGCUUGUAGGUGUGGUAACGGCUCACAUAGGCGACGAUCCCUAGCUGGCCUGAGAGGAUGAUCAGCCACACUGGGACUGAGACACGGCCCAGACUCCUACGGGAGGCAGCAGUGGGGAAUAUUGCACAAUGGACGAAAGCCUGAUGCAGCAAUGCCGCGUGUAUGAAGAAGGCCUUCGGGUUGUAAAGUACUUUCAGUCGGGAGGCGUUACCGACAGAAGAAGCACCGGCUAACUCCGUGCCAGCAGCCGCGGUAAUUC